rnacentral:rRNA from 1 species
GACGAACGCUGGCGGCGUGCUUAACACAUGCAAGUCGAGCGGUAAGGCCCUUCGGGGUACACGAGCGGCGAACGGGUGAGUAACACGUGGGUGACCUGCCCUUAGCUCUGGGAUAAGCCUGGGAAACUAGGGUCUAAUACCGGAUAUGACCUCAUGACGCAUGUUGUGGGGUGGAAAGCCUUGUGCGGCUAGGGAUGGGCCCGCGGCCUAUCAGCUUGUUGGUGGGGUGAUGGCCACCAAGGCGACGACGGUAGCCGGCCUGAGAGGGCGACCGGCCACACUGGGACUGAGACACGGCCCAGACUCCUACGGGAGGCAGCAGGUGGGGAAUUUUGCGCAA